rnacentral:rRNA from 1 species
UACGUAGGGUGCGAGCGUUAAUCGGAAUUACUGGGCGUAAAGCGUGCGCAGGCGGUGAUUCAAGUCAGAUGUGAAAGCCCCGGGCUUAACCUGGGAACUGCGUUUGAAACUGGAUCGCUAGAGUUUAGCAGAGGGGGGUAGAAUUCCACGUGUAGCAGUGAAAUGCGUAGAUAUGUGGAGGAACACCGAUGGCGAAGGCAGCCCCCUGGGCUAGAACUGACGCUCAUGCACGAAAGCGUGGGGAGCAAGCAGG